UACAGAGGGUGCAAGCGUUAAUCGGAAUUACUGGGCGUAAAGCGUGCGCAGGCGGUUAUGCAAGACAGAUGUGAAAUCCCCGGGCUCAACCUGGGAACUGCAUUUGUGACUGCAUGGCUAGAGUACGGUAGAGGGGGAUGGAAUUCCGCGUGUAGCAGUGAAAUGCGUAGAUAUGCGGAGGAACACCGAUGGCGAAGGCAAUCCCCUGGACCUGUACUGACGCUCAUGCACGAAAGCGUGGGGAGCAAACAGG
rnacentral:rRNA from 1 species